rnacentral:rRNA from 1 species
UACGAAGGGGGGCUAGCGUUGUUCGGAAUCACUGGGCGUAAAGCGCACGCAGGCGGAUCGUUAAGUCGGGGGUGAAAUCCCGAGGCUCAACCUCGGAACUGCCUUCGAUACUGGCGAUCUUUGAGUCCGGGAGAGGUGAGUGGAACUCCGAGUGUAGAGGUGAAAUUCGUAGAUAUUCGGAAGAACACCAGUGGCGAAGGCGGCUCACUGGCCCGGUACUGACGCUCAGGUGCGAAAGCGUGGGGAGCAAACAGG